rnacentral:rRNA from 1 species
AGCAGUCGCCGCGGUAAUACGUAGGGCGCAAGCGUUAUCCGGAAUUAUUGGGCGUAAGGAGCUCGUAGGCGGUUUGUCGCGUCUGCCGUGAAAGUCCGGGGCUCAACCCCGGAUCUGCGGUGGGUACGGGCAGACUAGAGUGAUGUAGGGGAGACUGGAAUUCCUGGUGUAGCGGUGAAAUGCGCAGAUAUCAGGAGGAACACCGAUGGCGAAGGCAGGUCUCUGGGCAUUAACUGACGCUGAGGAGCGAAAGCAUGGGGAGCGAACAGGAUUAGAUACCCGAGUAGUCCCUGUCUCUUAUAC